AAGAGAUUGCAGGGGUACUGGAAACAGUUGAGAUAACACCCUUUGAACCUGUUUGUUAAGACAAGCGUAGGGAGCAAUACAAGGAAAGAA
rnacentral:ncRNA from 1 species